UACGUAGGCAGCGAGCGUUGUUCGGAAUUACUGGGCGUAAAGAGUGUGUAGGCGGUGCUCCCAGUCUGUUGUGAAAUCUCCCGGCUUAACUGGGAGGGUGCAGCGGAAACUAGAGUGCUAGAGGGUGGGAGAGGUAAGCGGAAUUCCUGGUGUAGCGGUGAAAUGCGUAGAUAUCAGGAGGAACACCAGUGGCGAAGGCGGCUUCCUGGUCUGCGACUGACGCUGUGGCGCGAAAGCUAGGGGAGCAAACGGG
rnacentral:rRNA from 1 species